rnacentral:rRNA from 1 species
GAGAUAGCUGGUUCUCCCCGAAAGCUAUUUAGGUAGCGCCUCGUGAAUUCAUCUCCGGGGGUAGAGCACUGUUUCGGCUAGGGGGCCAUCCCGGCUUACCAACCCGAUGCAAACUGCGAAUACCGGAGAAUGUUAUCACGGGAGACACACGGCGGGUGCUAACGUCCGUCGUGAAGAGGGAAACAACCCAGACCGCCAGCUAAGGUCCCAAAGUCAUGGUUAAGUGGGAAACGAUGUGGGAAGGCCCAGACAGCCAGGAUGUUGGCUUAGAAGCAGCCAUCAUUUAAAGAAAGCGUAAUAGCUCACUGGUCGAGUCGGCCUGCGCGGAAGAUGUAACGGGGCUAAACCAU